rnacentral:lncRNA from 1 species
GUAGUAUAUUUUUCUCAAACGCGCAAAAAAUUUGCACGUUAAUAUAUUAGAUAGAAAGAGUUUUGAAACAUGACGCCUAGAGGCCUAAUGGGCCCUACGCUGAGACUCAAAAAAGAAAACCGAAGCAACUAAACUAGAAGACUCCAAAACAAACGCAACUCCAGGAGAAAGGGAAGGGGUAGGCCCACUCUACACACCUAAGAGGCCCCCAAGGUGGCGACGCUGGCGGCAGACCACAUUUGACCCACCGAAACAACGAGAUCCUUAAUUGCUUGGACGGAAGACAAUGCCUAGUCGAAAUUCUGCGGUUCUGC